UUNUGAACUGGGUAGCUAGAGUAUNUCAGAGGGGGGUAGAAUUCCACGUGUAGCAGUGAAAUGCGUAGAGAUGUGGAGGAAUACCGAUGGCGAAGGCAGCCCCCUGGGAUAAUACUGACGUUCAUGCUCGAAAGCGUGGGUAGCAAACAGGAUUAGAUACCCUGGUAGUCCACGCCCUAAACGAUGUCGAUUAGCUGUUGGGCAACUUGAUUGCUUAGUAGCGUAGCUAACGCGUGAAAUCGACCGCCUGGGGAGUACGGUCGCAAGAUUAAAACUCAAAGGAAUUGACGGGGACCCGCACAAGCGGUGGAUGAUGUGGAUUAAUUCGAUGCAACGCGAAGAACCUUACCUGGUCUUGACAUGUACGGAAGAACUCAGAGACGAGUUUGUGCCUUCGGGAGCCGUAACACAGGUGCUGCAUGGCUGUCGUCAGCUCGUGUCGUGAGAUGUUGGGUUAAGUCCCGCAACGAGCGCAACCCUUGUCAUUAGUUGCCAUCAUUUAGUUGGGCACUCUAAUGAGACUGCCGGUGACAAACCGGAGGAAGGUGGGGAUGACGUCAAGUCCUCAUGGCCCUUAUGACCAGGGCUUCACACGUCAUACAAUGGUCGGUACAGAGGGUAGCCAAGCCGCGAGGUGGAGCCAAUCCCAGAAAACCGAUCGUAGUCCGGAUUGCACUCUGCAACUCGAGUGCAUGAAGUCGGAAUCGCUAGUAAUCGCAGGUCAGCAUACUGCGGUGAAUACGUUCCCGGGUCUUGUACACACCGCCCGUCACACCAUGGGAGUGGGGGAUACCAGAAGUAGGUAGGGUAACCGCAAGGAGC
rnacentral:rRNA from 1 species